UUCUUAGUGACCACCUCUGACCACCCAACUUAAUACUUCUCCUCUCCUCCCUGCCCCAAAGCUGUAUGUAUCUCCUCUCUGCUUUAUUUCCUCCAGGGCAUCUGUGCCUCCUGUGUGUUGCCUGCCCCCGUGUGGAAGGGCAGCUCCAUGGGACGCGGCUCUGUCCGCUUAGCUUGGUGUUUGUCACUGGGGCCCAGGAUGUUCAGUGCUUGUGGAAUGAAAAAUAGAGUAGAAUAAUGAAGGGGAUUAAAUAUGUGACAUUUUAGUAUGUUGACUGUAUUAUACACUGUUACUAAGGAAUCAAAGCCGAUGUAUAAACAUUGUGUCUACACAUUAUACUAUUUUAUGAUUAUUGUAUGGAACUUUAUAAUACAAAAUUUCUUUGCAGUACAAUUUUGAGAAAUAGGUUAACUCUAUUUUAACUUAAAAGUACCCUAAAAAUUAUUUAAUUGUUUAUUAGUGAGUAACAGGCUCAAAUAUAGCGGUUUUUUUUUCUUUUAGUAUUGCUUUGCAUCCUCUAGGCUUGAAUGGUAUAAACACUGUAUUUUGACUUCUUAUUCAAUUUUAGAUUACCAGAGAAGAUUUUGCCACAUUUGAUUAUAUACUAUGUAUGGAUGAAAGCAAUCUGAGAGAUUUGAAUAGAAAAAGUAAUCAAGUUAAAACCUGCAAAGCUAAAAUUGAACUACUUGGGAGCUAUGAUCCACAAAAACAACUUAUUAUUGAAGAUCCCUAUUAUGGGAAUGACUCUGACUUUGAGACGGUGUACCAGCAGUGUGUCAGGUGCUGCAGAGCGUUCUUGGAGAAGGCCCACUGAGGCAGGUUCGUGCCCUGCUGCGGCCAGCCUGACUAGACCCCACCCUGAGGUCCUGUAUUUCUCAGUCAGUGUGUAAUCAAGUUCCAGGGCCCAAAGCCCCAGCUCUUUGUUCAGUUGACUUACUGUUUCUUACCUUAAAAAGUACUUGUAGAUGGAAAUCAGUUGUGUUUGACAGAAGAAUCAAUAAAAAUCUUUGAUUCAGA
rnacentral:sRNA from 1 species